rnacentral:rRNA from 1 species
CUGCGAAUGGCUCAUUAUAUAAGUUAUCGUUUAUUUGAUAGUACCUUAUUACCUGGAUAACCGUGGUAAUUCUAGAGCUAAUACAUGCUGAAAAUCCCGACUUCGGAAGGGAUGCGUUUAUUAGAUUCAAAGCCAAUGCCCCCCGGGGCUCACUGGUGAUUCAUGAUAACCUCACGAAUCGCAUGGCCUUGCGCCGGCGAUGGUUCAUUCAAAUUUCUUCCCUAUCAACUUUCGAUGUUUGGGUAGCGUCCAAACAUGGUCCCAACGGGUAACGGAGGGUUAGGGCUCGACCCCGGAGAAGGAGCCUGAGAGACGGCUACUACAUCCAAGGAAGGCAGCAGGCGCGCAAAUUACCCAAUCCCGACACGGGGAGGUAGUGACAAUAAAUACUGAUACAGGGCUCUUUUGGGUCUUGUAAUUGGAAUGAGUACAAUUUAAAUCCCUUAACGAGGAACAAUUAGAGGGCAAGUCUGGUGCCAGCAGCCGCGGUAAUUCCAGCUCUAAUAGCGUAUAUUAAAGUUGUUGUGGUUAAAAAGCUCGUAGUUGAACCUGGGGCCUGGCCGGCCGGUCCGCCUCACCGCGUGCACUGGCCCGGCCGGCCUUUUCCCCCCCCGUGGAACCCCAUGCCCUUCGCUGGGCGUGGCGGGGAUACGGGACGUUUACUUUGAAAAAAUUAGAGUGCUCCAGGCAGGCCUUUGCUCGAAUACAUUAGCAUGGAAUAAUGAAAUAGGACGCGCGGUUCUAUUUUGUUGGUUUCUGGGACCGCCGUAAUGAUUAAUAGGGACAGUCGGGGGCAUCAGUAUUCAAUUGUCAGAGGUGAAAUUCUUGGAUCUAUUGAAGACUAACUACUGCGAAAGCAUUUGCCAAGGAUGUUUUCAUUAAUCAGGAACGAAAGUUAGGGGAUCGAAGACGAUCAGAUACCGUCGUAGUCUUAACCAUAAACUAUGCCGACUAGGGAUCGGACGGUGUUACUUAUUUGACCCGUUCGGCACCUUGCGAGAAAUCAAAGUGCUUGGGCUCCAGGGGGAGUAUGGUCGCAAGGCUGAAACUUAAAGAAAUUGACGGAAGGGCACCACCAGGGGUGGAGCCUGCGGCUUAAUUUGACUCAACACGGGGAAACUCACCAGGUCCGGACACAAUGAGGAUUGACAGAUUGAGAGCUCUUUCUUGAUUUUGUGGGUGGUGGUGCAUGGCCGUUCUUAGUUGGUGGAGUGAUUUGUCUGCUUAAUUGCGAUAACGAACGAGACCUUAA